CGCAAUCUUUUAAGGCACCUCCCCUCGGAUGGCCCUAACUUGGCUGUAACUUACGGCCAGAACGAAGAGUUGUACCAGGUGUAUGCGUUCUGCGCAUUUCAUAAAUACUUUCACUGGCUUCGUCAUAUGCGUAGCAUUUCCCAUCCAACAUUAGUUUUUUAUAUCUUAGUUUGAAAAGCGUGUUUUUCGAUUUGCCAUAUUCUAUUAAUUUUUUCCUUAUGUUACGAGUGGCUUGGCAGAAAUCUUCACUCAUUGCUGUGUCAGUGUUUUUUAACAAACCCCGCUUUGAAGAGACUAGCUCCCUGGUUUUAUAGGUUUCAAAUUUAGUUAUUAAUGGUCGAGUUUUCACUGAAUCAAAACGACCAAUUCUGUGCGCCCGGCAUAUGUCAGAACCGGUUAUGUUAACCUUCAAUGUAUUAGUCAGCAGGUUUAGUAUCUUAUUUUCCGAUUCUGAUGAAGUUUCGUCGGCGGUGUCCGGGAUACCAUAAAAGAUCAGAUUAUUUCUGCGAGAUCGAUCUUCUGCGUCAUCAAGACGUGAGUGAAACGCACUCGUGUCUUUUUUGAGGCGCUCUACCGUGGCAUGCAAUUCUUUCAUAUCUUUUUGGCACUGCUCGAAAACAGAAGUUUGAGUUUCGACUUUCGCUAGUCUGUCCUUUAUUUCGGACAUCGCUUCUGAAACAGACUGCUGCUGUUGCUUUACUUCAGCUACUGUUUCCAAUAUUGUUUUUUGCGCUGAUUCAAUUCUCUUUGUGCGCUCAUUCAAGUCUUUCAUCGUUUUCAGGACUUCUGCAAGAUUAUCGGGGCCAGGGUUCCUUUCAACAUCCCCACAAAGAAGAAGCAGCAAGGAGCAAAAAGGCAAUAGGACGGCUUCAGGGCACGGAAGCACGAUAGCGAAUGGAUCAUCUGAUCUGAAGCUACGACAAGGUAAUUUAGAAAGGCAACUAACCUGCAGGACGAAAAAAGAGGUGCGUAAGCCUUUGGUUCUUCCACUCAUCGUGCCUCCGUGCCCACUGGAGAGAUACUGUUCGAUGCUUGGUCUUAUCCUUUCCAGACGUGAUGACGUUGACGUCGCAGCUGCGCACUGGCGGAAUUGCAGGUGGCGCCCGAUGCGCACUGUCAGGUCCACGUGAGCUGUUGCCAGCAGGUGUGGGUCCGGAGCAGAGGCGGCAUCACAAAUUCCGUCCAAGGGUGGAAGGUUAACCCGAAGGCCAACCACCGAUGCGCCGGCCGCGAAGACAACGACGAACUGCAGGACGAAAAAAGAGACGUGAUGACGUUGACGUCGCAGCUGCGCACUGGCGGAAUUGCAGGUGGCGCCCGAUGCGCACUGUCAGGUCCACGUGAGCUGUUGCCAGCAGGUGUGGGUCCGGAGCAGAGGCGGCAUCACAAAUUCCGUCCAAGGGUGGAAGGUUAACCCGAAGGCCAACCACCGAUGCGCCGGCCGCGAAGACAACGACGAACUGCAGGACGAAAAAAGAGACGUGAUGACGUUGACGUCGCAGCUGCGCACUGGCGGAAUUGCAGGUGGCGCCCGAUGCGCACUGUCAGGUCCACGUGAGCUGUUGCCAGCAGGUGUGGGUCCGGAGCAGAGGCGGCAUCACAAAUUCCGUCCAAGGGUGGAAGGUUAACCCGAAGGCCAACCACCGAUGCGCCGGCCGCGAAGACAACGACGAACUGCAGGACGAAAAAAGAGGUGCGUAAGCCUUUGGUUCUUCCACUCAUC
rnacentral:lncRNA from 1 species